rnacentral:rRNA from 1 species
UACGAAGGGGGCUAGCGUUGCUCGGAAUCACUGGGCGUAAAGGGUGCGUAGGCGGGUCUUUAAGUCAGUGGUGAAAGCCCGGAGCUCAACUCCGGAACUGCCAUUGAAACUGUUUAGCUUGAGGAUGAGAGAGGUGAGUGGAAUUCCCAGUGUAGAGGUGAAAUUCGUAGAUAUUGGGAAGAACACCGGUGGCGAAGGCGGCUCACUGGCUCAUUACUGACGCUCAGGCGCGAUAGCGUGGGGAUCAAACAGG